rnacentral:misc_RNA from 1 species
UGCCUUCCGAAGAUCUCAGUCUCUCAAGCUCUCGGUCUCCUCGAAGAAGAAGAACACUCAAUCCUGCAUACUGUAAUCAACCAAGCAUUUGGUGAGCCAGUUCUCCUUACUCCGCAGGAUGACUGCUCUUUCAAGUCCUUUCCUUUUAUCCACACCCCCUCGAAAUCUCACUUCUUAUCAUCUGGUUCUUCUUUGAAGCCAACUGACCAGAGUCUUUUAACCAUUAGCCCCUCUAAUAUCUUCAGCAAAGCAAAGCAUACUGCCUAUAAUGGGUCACUUACCGUUCAAGCAAGUGGUGAUCGAGGAAGGCCAAAUAGUGCAGGUAUUUUCAUAAGUGGAUUCGUAUUGGGAGGAAUAGUGGUUGGAACAUUGGGAUGUGUGUAUGCUCCACAGAUCAGCAAGGCACUAGCUGGAGCAGACAGAAAGGAUUUGAUGAGGAAGUUGCCAAAGUUCAUAUAUGAUGAGGAAAAAGCAUUGGAGAAGACUCGCAAAGUACUGUCUGA